rnacentral:rRNA from 1 species
AUGGCCGGACGCAUGGCGCUUGCGGUGGUCCUGCUGAGCGCGGCGGCUGCCGCGGCGGCGGCGCAGUCGGCGUCGAACGUGCGCGCCACCUACAACUACUACAGCCCGGAGAAGAUCAACUGGGACCUCAACGCCGGCAUGUCGUACGCCUGGCGCUCCAAGUACGGCUGGACGGCCUUCUGCGGCCCCGCCGGGCCGACCGGCCAGGCGUCCUGCGGCAAGUGCCUCCUGGUGACGAACACGGCGACCGGCGCGCAGAUCACGGCGAGGAUCGUCGACCAGUGCAGCAACGGCGGGCUGGACCUGGACUUCGACACGGUGUUCAGCAAGAUCGACACCGACGGGCAGGGGGUCGCCCAGGGCCACCUCACCGUCAACUACCAGUUCGUUGACUGCGGCGACAACUGA